UACGGAGGGUGCAAGCGUUGUCCGGAUUUAUUGGGUUUAAAGGGUGCGUAGGCGGCCUCUUAAGUCAGUGGUGAAAGCCCGCGGCUCAACCGCGGAACUGCCAUUGAUACUGGGAGGCUUGAGUACAGACGAGGUUGGCGGAAUGGACUGAGUAGCGGUGAAAUGCAUAGAUACAGUCCAGAACCCCGAUUGCGAAGGCAGCUGACUAGGCUGUUACUGACGCUGAGGCACGAAAGCGUGGGGAGCGAACAGG
rnacentral:rRNA from 1 species